AUAUAUGUGCUGAAGGGUAAUAAAUUUUCAGAAAUAUAAUAGAAUAAUAUAUAGUUUUUAUGUGAUAAAACUACAUAACUAGCUAAUAAUAAGUAGUUAAGGACAAUAUUAAUGAUGUUAGUAGUAGACUAUGCUGAGCUCAAAUUUUUUUAAUCUCCAGUUCCUAUCUUAGUUGGAGCAGGACUUCUACUUUUUCCAACGGCAACAAAAAAAUCUUCGCCGUUUCACCAAGUGCAAAUUUAAGCUUUACUUAACCUUAAUUUGUCGACUUGAAGAUGUUUCUUAUUGUUUCUAUAUCGAACUGAAAGUGUUUAGAUUAAGUUGCAAGACUUCCAUGUCAAUAGAGUCAAUAAAUAUAUAAUAACGAUUUUAGAUUACCGGAAAUGACUGAUGCUAUAGUAUUUCGUGGGUCAAGUUUUGAAGUUUUGGCUUAAAGGUUUGACCAGAGGUUCAUUUGACUGACUUGGAUAUUUGGCCCUACGUGUAAAUACGAAUAGAAAUGUUUAUGUCAGAUGCCAAGGUGUUAAAUAACCAAAUUGGCAUAUCGAAGCUCAUUGCAAAUCAUACACAUACGAUCUGUACUGACAAAAGAUGCAGCCAAAUGUGUAGCUCAAUUGCAUAACUGCGGCUGCGGUACAUGAAAGUGAACUGCUUUCAAAUGGUUGAGAGGACGUCGAUAAGAAUUUUGGAAUCAGUACAUUUCCACCUCAAGCUUACCGAAAUCAGCACCACUGCAAGCUAAUUUACCUUCUCUAACUGCAAAAGCUUCCUGCAAAAGCUUACAUGUUUUGUUCUCAUGUAUCGUUGUGCUUUAUCAAUGAAAUUGCUGCCGUUUUGAAGUAAAAAAACAACUACGAAAGCUUCAUCAUCUCAGGAGUAUGCUCUGAACUAAACCAAAUAUAUAAAUUAGUAUUAUAAAACAAGAAAACCUUUAAGGGAAGGGAUCCCCAUUUUUUUAUAAAAAUGAGGAUUAGUUGUAGGGUCUACACCACAUCGAACUUUAACGAUCCGAACCGUCUAUGUUUCAAAUUGUACCACAUAGAUCAUCAUUGCAAAAUAUUAGCCAAAUCAGAAAUGUUUAAGACAUUUAAUUGAGUUCAAAGAAAUUGAUGAAUACUUUGUUAUAUAAGAAAAAAAUGAAAUUUUAUCUUCAUAAUUAAAUAGGCAAAUGGGUCUGGAUUGAAUUGAAUUUUUGUUAGGAUGAUCUAUAAAUCGAUACUUACAAAAUGGACGGUUCAGAUCGUUAAAGUUCGAUGUGAAGUGGACCUCACACCUAAUCCCCAUUUUUUGAAAAGAAUAAGAAUCCCUUUGCAUAAAGGGCCUGUAUAAAAACAAAGUACAUGUCUUUAAUUAAAUCAUGACUAACACAUGAUAAGAAUUAAUCAAUUGUAUUGAGAUUCUGGUUAGUCAUUAAUUAUAUUAAAGUAACAAGUAGAAUUCAAACCAGUGAGGCGAUGUACUGCAUCUAGCUUGACAUGCAUGCAUAGUAAUCAGAUUAAUAUGGUUAGUAGAAUUGAUUCUUACAUAUAUAUAGGUACUUACUAUAAUAUUCAUCUACAAGGAGUGGUGCUAUUGAGACUGAUUUUAAAAUGGAACAAGUCACAUGCAAGUGCCUGCUAAAAAAUAUCCUUGAAUAUAUCUUGCUAAUUAAGCUGGGGCCUUCAUUUUCUAAACAAGAAUUAAUCCAUUAAUUUCAAAAUGUUAACGGCAACAGAAAGGACAUUUAGUUUUCUCAUCAUAACAAUAAAUAAAUUUAGAAGGGCUAAGACUCUUCUUUUAUGUUAGAAUACGUAGUGAGAUUGUCCUAUCCAGAGAGAUUCGACGGAAUUAAUAUGUCCUCAUUCUCAACUUGUUUAUGUAUGGUUAAUUAAUAAUACAUACCUUAAGUGAGCUCUCCUGGUUCUCCAUAUAAAACAAUGUAGCAAAGAGAGAAGAGCUGAAGGUGUAAUUUUUUCAAAGACAAAUGAAGGUGAUGGUGGUGAAGAUCAAGAAAUUAUUUGAAGGUGUUGGGUGAGACAUGACACUGAGCAACUGCAAAAUAAUAGAGGACAGAGUUUUGCUUACGCACACAUGUUCUUAUUGAUACAUGUAAGAGAUACAUUUUAGGAUCUAUUAUUAUUAACAAUUGAUAGUUAUUCAUAUACAUUAUUGGACGUCUUUAACAAUGCAAAAGAUAAUUUAGAGUACUCAACCACACAUAUUCAGUUUUAGGUAAUAUUAUUGUUCUUGUGCACCCUAUUUUCUUGUAUAUAUUUAUUCUUUCCAUCACUAAUGAAUAUAAUAUCGUAUUACUUCAAAACAUUUAUUUUAAUCUUGGAAUAAUUCAUUUUUACUGUCCCCAUUGCUGGGAAAUUCUUCAAAAGCAUUUCACAGACGUCUCUUGCAUGUUUCUCAAAAGCAAUAUAAAGGAAAGAGUGUACUUACCUCUCUGCCACCUUCCUAAAAUAUAUAAAAAUGGGAAGUAUUUUUCUAACCGAUUACUAGUUAAUUAUUAAGAAGCACGGUCGGUAAGGUCAUCAUCUUUGGAACUUAUUAUUUUAAAACAAUAAAGACAAGUUUAGGUGUAAUAGGGUACUUUUAUAGACUAACUUAAAAUACACGCAUCUUUAAUAGAUAGUAUUGUUUUCAACAAAAAUUGCCAAUAGAUUGCAUAAGAAGACAUUCCACAAAAUACCAAAGUUUUUUCCCUUUUAUUCUCUUGGUGUUAAUUAAUAAAGAACUCUAAAAUGUGGGUAAUCCUCCCCAUCCGCAACAUCCUGUCAUCAUCUCUUGCUUCCUUUAUGCUGUAUAUAUAGAGUAAAAUUUCUAUAAAUAAAUACUCAUCAGACCCAAAAAAAAAUUAUCAUUUAAGAAUGAUUAUUAUUACAUCGAUAAAUAGAAUUUAUUUGGUAAAGAAUUUACCUUCACUACUUCUAUAAAUAAAGGCGCAAUAAUUUGAGAUCUAUUCUGCCUCACAAUUACAUCAAACUCUAUCUCUUUCUUGCUUGCCACACCCCUCUUUCUCGCUCUAUAAUUCUUCGGUUAAAUACGUCUAUAACAGCACGCUCUAGCCUGUCGCUAAGGAAACUAAUGCUAAGGAACUGAAGAUUCGUGGAGGAAGUUCUUCUACAAAUUCAAGGACUCAAUUUCGUUUUCAGCCAUCCUAAAAUCCAACUUGAUAUU
rnacentral:lncRNA from 1 species